GAGGCUAUAGCUCAGUGGUAGAGCGCAUGCUUAGUUAGCAUGCAUGAGGUCCUGGGUUCAAUCCCCAGUCCCUCCA
rnacentral:tRNA from 1 species